CCAAUGUGCCAAAAUAUCUAUCUCUUAAAGAAAAUUAGGUGUAUUAAAUAGGUCAGAUUGGAACAGCAGGCUGAUAAAUGAGUGGUUAGGCAACAAGGGACAAUAUAUCAGAGCAAUCGACUGUGGGUCACAAUUUCAUCGACUGUGGUCAGGCUGAUAGUGCAGUUCACAUGGGUUAUAUAGGAAUGAUCUCCCUGCGUCAGUCCCUACAAAUUUUUUUCUAUCAAGAAGUUGAGUUGUUCUUGAGUUAGCUUGGUUGUGGGACUCUUCUCUGUUCCUUUUUUUUUUAAUAGAAAAAAAUAAGGGUGAAAACCUUGCUGAGGAGUUACAAGAAUCAGGGCCUGAGAGGUUUCAACUGGUAACUUUAAAAUGAGAGUCAGGCUCCUCGUCUACUAGGCUAGCCCCAGUCGAUUGAAGUGGAUAGACCUCAAGAAUAAAAGUCAAGUUAGUCUAGUUAACAAAAGUUAUGGACCGGAUGAGCCGUGCCAUUUUAGUAAGAAGAAGAUAAUUAGCCAGAAAUUUGGAUUUGUGAAUUGUGAGUCUGUAUUGAUUUUAUGCUGUUAGGAAUUCUUGAAAGUAACCUCUUCUUCUUCUUCGAAAGUGGUUGGGAAUUUGGAUCCUCCUUAUGAAUUGUACGUACUAUAGCAAGUUGAGGGUGGUGUUAUAUAGUAAACCAGACAGAUGGUUAACUAGUUAUGAUUCCAUGGCUACCCAAAAUAAAGAAGAUCAGAAGCUUCAUAUUGUUAUGAUUCCUUGGUUAGCUUUUGGUCAUUUGAUACCAUUUCUUGAGCUCUCCGACUCCUUGGCUAAGUUGGGUCAUCGUAUCUCUUUUAUAUCUACCCCUCGAAAUCUCGAAAGACUCGUUCAAGUUCAGUCUUCUCCUUCCUUAUUCAUCAACUUCGUUUCUUUUCCAUUACCCAAAGUUGAAAACUUACGUGACCAAGCGGAGUCCACCACCGACCUUCCUGUAGAUGAAGUUCCGUACUUGAAGAAAUCUUAUGACAGUUUGGAAGGUCCGCUGUCGAUAUCCCUGCAAACUUCAAGACCAGAUUGGAUUAUUUACGACUUCGCUCCUCACUGGGUGCCACCCAUCGCAUCAAGGCUAGGCAUUCCUUGUUGCUUCUUUAGCAUAUUCAUCGCAUCCGUCCACUGUUUCUUCGGGAAUCCAUCGGGUUAUACGGAGAGUAAUGAUUCUGUCACUAGGACGGCGCUGGAGGAUUUCACUGUUUCUCCCGAUUGGAUCCCGUUUCCAACUAAUUUGGCUUUUCGGAUCCAUGAAAUCCGUAAACUCUUCAGCAAUGUUGAAGUAAACGGGUCAGGAGUCUCGGACCUAAGUCGAUUUGGAAGUAGCAUACAAGGCUGUCAAGUCGUGGCUAUUCGAACUUGUAUGGAAUUCGAAUCCGAGCACCUGUGUCUCCUCGAAAAGCUUUAUGAAAAGCCAAUCAUCCCAGUAGGCUUACUCGCUCCUCUUCCUCCAUCACCAGACGACGUAAAUGACACUAAUCAUGAAGAGUGGAUGAGGAUGAAGGGAUGGCUUGACAGACAAGAGCAAAAAUCAGUGGUUUAUAUAGCACUGGGAAGUGAAGCAACAUUAAGUCAAUCAGAAAUAACUGAGUUAGCUCUUGGUUUAGAGUUAUCCAAGUUAGCAUUUUUCUGGGUUCUAAGAUCGACCGAGGAGAUGUUACCGGUAGGAUUUGCGGAAAGGAGUAGAGGAAAUGGAUUUAUGUGGUUCAGUUGGGCACCUCAAAUGAGAAUAUUGGAACACCCAUCAAUAGGAUGUUUCUUGAAUCACUGUGGUUGGAGUUCUGUGAUUGAAGCACUUGGGUUCGGUUGUCCUUUAAUUUUGUUGCCGAUGAUAAAUGACCAGCCAUUGAAUGCAAGAACACUGGUGUGGAAAGAGAUGGAGUUAGAGAUUGAAAGAAAUGAAGAAGAUGGGACUUUUACCAGAGAGUCAGUUGCUAAGUCAUUGAGGACAGUAAUGGUAGAUGAAGAUGGUGAAAAAUACAGAUUUAAAGCUAGAGAAUUGAAACAAGUGUUUGGUAAUAAGUCACUAAAUGAUGGAUAUGUUAACAGAUUUUCGCAAUAUCUUAGGGAACAUCGCCAAAUUAGCCAGUGACAGACUUUUCUAGCUUGUCUUGUUUUAUCUUGUUUGUUAAAUGGUAUGGUUCGUAGUGAAGAAUAAAAGUCCUCCGUCUUGUUAUUAUGUGCUACCUCCGUUUCUGGAAAUGACCAGGCCAAGUUGAAAAAGUGACAAUAACUCUUUUCCAGAAACAGAGGGAGUUUUUUGUUUGUUUUCUGAAGCAUUAAAUUUUCAAUGUGCCAGAAUAUCCAACUCUUAAAGAAGAUUAGGUGUGUUAAAUAGGUCAGACAUGGCAUAGUAUAUAAGAACAAUCAAUGUGGGUCACAAUUUCAUCCCAAUCCAAGCAACCUGUUCCUCUUCCAUUUCUCUGCACAAAAAAAUAUCAAGAAGUUGAGUUAGCCUAGUUGCUGGGGUGGGGGACUGGCUCUCAUAAUUGAGAUCAAGGCCGGAAUCCCUGAGUUAGCCUAGUAGCUGGGUUGAGGGAUUGAACAGAGAUCAAGCUCGAAAUUCCGCACAUAAAUUUCCUACUCACCUAGAUGUAAUUAUCAUUUUUCUUUUUUUUUUAGAAACAUGAGAGGGGAUUUUACGGAGUGCCCGAGUUUUAGAGUGAAAUUUUAUCAGCAAACCUCAAAUGUGAGAGUAAUCUUCUGGAAUACUGGCUAGUCCCAGUUGGUUUAAUUGUAAGUUACCCCUACAUGGUGAACUAGAGCGGAAAGUAUAUAGACUAGAUCGGCUGACCUCAAGAAUGAAAGUAAGGCUCCUGUGUCCGGACUAACUAGGCUAGGCGAAGUUGGUUUAGUUGCCCACUCGCUAUAGUAGAGACUAGAUGUGAAAAUCCCCAAUUCCUUCUUUUUCAAAACCCUAAUUCCUCUCUAAGAAGAGGAGAAUUAGCAGACAUGUAGUUUCUUACAAGAAUUUCAAUGGAUAUUUUACCAAUUUGUUCUGUUUUGUUACUUGAAUUGAUUGUGUGCCAUCUGAAGUUGAGUGUUUAUACUGUUUGUUAUAAUGUCUGUAUGAAAUGUGGCGUUUUGAAACUCUGUUAGAAGCAUGUCUAACUUAUUGAAUCUUAUACUAUCAAAAGCGAAGUGCAGCAAAUGCAAACUCAGAUCCAAGGCUCGAGCAGGCAGUAUUUGGAUAAUCGGCAAAUAUUGGUCACUUGGUGAUUCGGGCGGGUUGGCGGGUUGUAGUAACAAAACGUGUCGUUAUCUAGCAUUUUAUGGUGAUGGUUCUUAUACAGUUGGUGAAUUCGUGACAGAAACCCUAAUGUUUGAUACCUCGCGUACCAGCCUUGAAAAUAUCUAUAUAGGUUGCGGUCAUGAUAAUAGAGGUCUAUUUACCGGUGCAGCUGGUUUGUUAGCUCUUGGACGCGGCGCAGUUUCAUUUCCUUCUCAAGUAAAUGCUACUGCAUUUUCUUAUUGUAUAGUCGAUCGUGAUUCUAAUUUUUCUUCAGAUUUACAAUUCGGCUCAGGGACAGAACCAGCUGACGCAAUUACUGCCCCAUUACUUAGUCACCCGCUGUAUCCUACUUUCUAUUACGUGAAUUUAACUGGUAUUAGCGUUGGAGGUCAACUGUUGAAUCUACCCCAGUCAGUUUUCGACAUAAAUCCGAGUAUACCCAGUGGAGUUAUUGUUGACACGGGAACAGGAAUAACUAGGUUACGAGCCGACGUGUACCUUGCACUACGUGAUGCUUUUGUCAAAGCCACAUAUAACUUAACCUCUGCUGGCGGAUUCGCUCUGUUUGAUACUUGCUAUGAUCUAUCACUAGAAACUUUGGUUUCUGUUCCAGCUGUUGCAUUUUGGUUUCCCGGUGGAAAAUCCUUGGUUUUACCAGCCAAGAAUCUUUUGGUACCUGUUGAUGACAAGAAAACCUUCUGUUUCGCUUUUGCAGCAUCUAAUUCUGAAGUGUCUAUUAUAGGUAAUCUGCAACAGCAAGGGAUUCGUGUCAGCUUUAAUAUUGCUACUUCUGUUGUUGGGUUUUCUCCUAACAGAUGCUAGCAGGCAAAGUUACCUGCAAGUGCACUGAUCUGCCGCCUUCACAGGUAUAAGCUUCUUCUUAUACAAGCACUACUAGCUAGAAGUUGAGACGUUGGGCCUUGAAGAAGGACAAAUUUUGCCAUGAGGUGACAAAGAACGCACUGUUCUUACAGAAGGUAAAUUAGCUAGAACUUCAUUGUCAUUAAGUACUAAUUAAGAACAAUAAUUGAUAACUCUAAGUGAACCUCUCAACUACACCUAAUGUGGGUAGUAUAUUAGGUGUAACAAUUAGUUGAUAAUUAAGAGUACAAUUUUAUUUAUGGCAAUUAAAAAGUUGUUAAUAAUUAAUAUUAUGGUUGAUUAUUUAUUAAGUUUAGUGGUCAAGUCUCUUUUACUUUUCUGAAAUUUUCUGUACUUGUUCAUACUUGUAAAGAAAAAGGAAUAA